ACCUUCGUGGGUGAACAGCACGCUGGGCCUGUAUUCCAGAGGUCCUUGGUUCAAGUCCCAGCGAAGGCG
rnacentral:tRNA from 1 species